UUGGAGGCUUUAAAAUAGGCCGUGUACUUAACCGUUCUUUCUUGCUUUUUGAGUUAUUCUUCUCCACUUCUCCUUUUUUCUCCUCUUCCAAUCGAGACAAACGUUCUUACAACAGAGCAUCGAUUUUCAGAUUACCCAUAUAUGCUCACUUAGGAUUGAAUCAGCUCUAGGAUGUCAUCAACUUUUAUACGAGGGUGCCUGACAUCGAUCCAAGCAACGUACCGAUACAAUCAUGUUUGGCAGACGCUCAAGGUUUUGGGUCGAGCCCACACGCCAUCUCAUCCAUUCGGGAUGCUUUCCAAUGCCUUGAGAUGUCGAAGAAACUAAUGACACAUUCUUCAGUGAGAGGUUCUUUCUUUAAAAGCAGUCUGAUUUCGUAAAUAUUAGGACUCAGGCAGGUGAAUCAGCUAUGGAUCAGGAGGAUAAGAUGGUUGUGCCUCCAAGGAAGGAGCCUGAGGUAGAGAAGAAACAAAAACAGGAGCAGAAAGCUUUAAAUGAGAAAGACAUGGUGAAUGCGGCAUACAAGGCCUUCAAAAUACUAUCAAGAAUUACUCACAACCAUAGAACUUGAUGAUGAAGAUAUAUCUUUAUCACAAAUCGUGCUGCUGCUCAUUGGAGAUGACAAAGGACACAAAUGUGGAUAUCAGAAGCUUGGUAAGGAAAACACACAAAGGAGAGUUCCAAGUGGAAGUGGAGCUGAUGGAUAGUGGCUCAGUGGAGAUCUCUGUUGGAUCGAGUUCGAGUUCGCUUAACUGGAUCUGUUUCCAUACCUGUGGAAGAAUGUCUAUGAUAAAGUGCACUCCAGUUGAGUGUCUCUUAUGUGAUCUCUGUCAUCGGUAUUCUGAAAAGUGGUGAAAAGACUACUGCAAAAGAGUGGCCUAUGUUGCUUGAGAUCAAGGGUAGAGUCAGAUUAGAUGCAUUUGAGAAGUUUGUUCGAGAGCUCCCAAAUUCUAGGAGUCGUGCUGUAAUGUUUAUGUGUUUUGUCUGCAAAGAGGCGUGCUCCAAGACAGAACAAGAAACCAUUUCUGAGGU